rnacentral:sRNA from 2 species
UAUCUCUCCGUACGGGGAAGGAUGAGAAGCUUCGACUAAGGUUCGAUUCGAGCGAAAGCGAGAAAGCGUUGCCAACGGCAACGACCCGAAGGGCGAAGCGCGCAGCACUGAGUCAACCUUCCCCCACCACCA